AUUGAACGCUGGCGGCAGGCCUAACACAUGCAAGUCGAGCGGAUGAAGGGAGCUUGCUCCUGGAUUCAGCGGCGGACGGGUGAGUAAUGCCUAGGAAUCUGCCUGGUAGUGGGGGGUAACGUCCGGAAACGGGCGCUACUACCGCCUACGUCCUGAGGGAGAAAGUGGGGGAUCUUCGGACCUCACGCUAUCAGAUGAGCCUAGGUCGGAUUAGCUAGUUGGUGGGGUAAAGGCCUACCAAGGCGACGAUCCGUAACUGGUCGGAGAGGAUGAUCAGUCACACGGGAACUGAGACACGGUCCAGAGUCCUACGGGAGGCAGCAGUGGGGAAUAGUGGACAAUGGGCGAAAGCCUGAUCCAGCCAGGCCGCGUGUGUGAAGAAGGUCUUCGGAUUGUAAAGCACGUUAAGUUGGGAGGAAGGGCAGUAAGUUAAGACCUUGCUGUUUUGACGGUACCAACAGAAGAAGCACCGGCUAACUACGUG
rnacentral:rRNA from 1 species